GUCCGCCAAGGCAUUAGAACCACGUUCGUCUAUUGGCCUCCUUGUUCCGUUACUUGAAUCAGCUGGUUUGUCUUCACAUGUGUUACCAGCUUCCACGUCCUACUAACACAGACCACAUGGAAUUGUUGCUGUUUAUUCUAUCCUUCUGGUAUUUUGAAGAGAAGAUUUAAACCAUUGAGAGAGUUUUGUGUGCCAUUAAUCAAAACAAAAAAGCAAGCAAACAAAUAACAAACAAAAAAACAAAAAAGGUAGUGGGGAGGGAGACAAGAAAAAAAAAAGUACAUGUCUCCCAAAUAAAAUGUAUCAAUUGUUAGCCAAGAGGAAUGUGAAAUGGCCUUCACCUUUGGGUUAUCGUUUUGCAUUUAAAUGCUCAUAACUGUUUUAGAAAGCUCGACGCCCACACCACAGGAACUUGCUCCUCUUUAAUUUUCUCUAAUUUAUGUAGUGAAUAACCAAAUACUCAUAAUGCAAUUAGAAGAUAAUCAGGCUUGUAAUUAUGUUAAUUGCUGGAGACUUGCAUCAAUCCUCUAGCAAAGUGAUAGGAUUUCAGGGGAACUAUUAACAUAGCAAGAGAGUGAGGGGGAGACUGGGAUGGGUGACUCCAGAAAUUGAUGAACAGCUAUGGUUUGUAUCACUGAAUAACACUGAGGACAAUAGAGCCAUACAGGAAAGGCGCCUUCAGGGGGGUACUUAGAAAAUGGUUUUAGGUUCCAAAAAAUCAACCUCUUUUGUUGUUUUCUUUCCCACAAAUAAUCACUCGUGUUCACCUGUUUUAUCACAAGAAGCCUAAUUUAGAGAACAGAUGAAUAGGUGAAAGAGAGAAUGACUUUUUGCCUGUUAGCACUGUCUUCCGCAUUACUCAAAACCUAACAGCACGAAACAAGAUAUGGUUAUUGCCUGUAUUUCUACACUGAAAGUGUCCUUUGCUCAAAUAAUGACGACCAGUGGUCAAGCUGUAACUCUGUUGUAAUCUGUCCUUAGAUGGCUACUCACUUGUUAAAUCUCUGUUGCCAGAAUAUUGAGUUUAUUUCUAAACACAAUCAAUUCCAACGUGAAUUAAAAUUUUCCUAUUUCCUUUAGAGUCAGCUGGAGCUAAGGCAGACAUCCUGGAGCCUCCUUUGGACAAGACUUUUUUGCUUCCCUUAUUAGUACAUCUGAGCAGGCUAUUCUCUCCUUUCUUUCCCCCAUGUGUGCUGGUGUGGUAGGGUAGGUGAAAAAGUUCCGUGGUGUAGUUUAAUGACUACUUAAAAAAAGGUUUAUGCCACCACAUUUCUACCACCUCGUGAGGUUAAAAUUAAAAUUACCUCACAAAGAUAUGUUGGGAAAGGAGAAACCUUGUGCACUGUUAGGGGGGAUAUAAAGCAAUACAGAGUUUCCUUGAAAAAUUAAAAGUAGAACUACUUUAUGAUCCAGCAAUUCCACGUUUGGAUAUAUAUUGGAAGGAGAUGAAAUCACUGUUUUGAAGAGGUAUCUGUCCUUCCGUGUUCAUUGUAUUAUUUUUCCAGCAGCCAAGACAUGGAGACAACCUAAGCUACCCCUAAUGGAUUGAUGGAUAAAGAAAAGUCCCCUCUCAAAGUCAUGGAACAGUGAAGUGUCAAUAGCAGAAGACUAAUCACUGUGGUUGUGGUCAAACUCAUGAGGAAUGGGUGGCUUACAUUCUAACUACAUGUAGAUUUCCCCCACUGCAUCCACAAGUCUUUGCUGUGUACCCGAGUAAGCUCUUCAGAAGGAUUUCAUCACUGGGGAGUUUUCGAUCAAUCUUCUACGAGUGCAAAGAGAUGGUUUCUCUUCCUUGGGAGUGGACAGCUCUUGGGUGACAAGCUUCUUCUAAAAUUGAGAACAGCCAGGAGUCUGUCCAACUUGAUCAUUGAAUUCUGCUGCCUUUUUUGUAGAUUCAACUGCCCCACUUUACAGGCUCUGUUGGAAGCUGUUUUUAUUUAUUUAUUUUUGCGGGGGAGGGUUUCAGGCUUAUCUAU